rnacentral:rRNA from 1 species
UACGGAGGGAGCUAGCGUUGUUCGGAAUUACUGGGCGUAAAGCGCACGUAGGCGGCUUUGUAAGUUAGGGGUGAAAGCCUGGAGCUCAACUUCAGAAUUGCCCUUAAGACUGCAUCGCUUGAAUCCAGGAGAGGUGAGUGGAAUUCCGAGUGUAGAGGUGAAAUUCGUAGAUAUUCGGAAGAACACCAGUGGCGAAGGCGGCUCACUGGACUGGUAUUGACGCUGAGGAGCGAAAGCUAGGGGAGCAAACGGG